AAUAGGAAAAGAUCUCUACUAAAUUGGAAGUUAAAAUGAACCAAAGUACUUUAGGAAACCUAUAUAAAAUAGGAGUAAAAAUCUUCCUAGAUAGAAUAGGAAAAAUAUAAUUAAAUCCUAAAUAGAAUUGGAAACUUUCUAAAUUAAUUCUAGUUGGGAUUCUGCUGCUGUUGCUUGAUAAACAAGAAGUCACAGGUGAGUAAGGACUAGGGGCGAGCAUUCGGUUCAAACUGAACCG
rnacentral:misc_RNA from 1 species